AUGAUUAAAGAUAGCUUGCUAUUUUUAUGAAGAGCGGCGAACGGGUGAGUAACGCGUGGGAAAUCUGCCGAGUAGCGGGGGACAACGUUUGGAAACGAACGCUAAUACCGCAUAACAAUGAGAAUCGCAUGAUUCUUAUUUAAAAGAAGCAAUUGCUUCACUACUUGAUGAUCCCGCGUUGUAUUAGCUAGUUGGUAGUGUAAAGGACUACCAAGGCGAUGAUACAUAGCCGACCUGAGAGGGUGAUCGGCCACACUGGGACUGAGACACGGCCCAGACUCCUACGGGAGGCAGCAGUAGGGAAUCUUCGGCAAUGGGGGCAACCCUGACCGAGCAACGCCGCGUG
rnacentral:rRNA from 1 species